CCUACGGGAGGCAGCAGUAAGGAAUAUUGGACAAUGGGCGCAAGCCUGAUCCAGCCAUUCCGCGUGUAGGAUGACGGCCCUCUGGGUUGUAAACUACUUUUAUUUGGGAAGAAACCCUGGGAUUUAUCCCGGGCUGACGGUACCAAAAGAAUAAGCACCGGCUAAUUCCGUGCCAGCAGCCGCGGUAAUACGGAAGGUGCAAGCGUUAUCCGGAAUCACUGGGUUUAAAGGGUGCGUAGGCGGUUGCGUAAGUCAGAAGUGAAAGCUCACAGCUUAACUGUGGAAUUGCUUUUGAUACUGCGCGACUAGAAUCAGGUUGAGGUUGGCGGAAUGUGACAUGUAGCGGUGAAAUGCAUAGAUAUGUCAUAGAACACCAAUUGCGAAGGCAGCUGACUGGACCUGCAUUGACGCUGAGGCACGAAAGCGUGGGGAGCGAACAGGAUUAGAUACCCUGGUAGUCCACGCCCUAAACGAUGCUUACUCGAUGUGUGAAAUAUUGCGCAUCCAAGGGAAACCGUUAAGUAAGCCACCUGGGGAGUACGUUCGCAAGAAUGAAACUCAAAUGAAUUGACGG
rnacentral:rRNA from 1 species